CACGUAGGGUGCGAGCGUUGUCCGGAUUUAUUGGGCGUAAAGAGCUCGUAGGCGGUUCAGUAAGUCAGGUGUGAAAUCUUUGGGCUUAACCCAAAGCGUGCACUUGAUACUGCUGUGACUUGAGUUCGGUAGGGGAGUGGGGAAUUCCUAGUGUAGCGGUGAAAUGCGCAGAUAUUAGGAGGAACACCGGUGGCGAAGGCGCCACUCUGGGCCGAAACUGACGCUGAGGAGCGAAAGCGUGGGUAGCAAACAGG
rnacentral:rRNA from 1 species